GAUGAACGCUGGCGGCGUGCCUAAUACAUGCAAGUCGAGCGAACGGACGAGAAGCUUGCUUCUCUGAUGUUAGCGGCGGACGGGCGAGUAACACGUGGAUAACCUACCUAUAUUACUGGGAUAACUUCGGGAAACCGUAGCUAAUACCGGAUAAUAUUUUGAACCGCAUGGUUCAAAAGUGAAAGACGGUCUUGCUGUCACUUAUAGAUGGAUCCGCGCUGCAUUAGCUAGUUGGUAAGGUAACGGCUUACCAAGGCAACGAUGCAUAGCCGACCUGAGAGGGUGAUCGGCCACACUGGAACUGAGACACGGUCCAGACUCCUACGGGAGGCAGCAGUAGGGAAUCUUCCGCAAUGGGCGAAAGCCUGACGGAGCAACGCCGCGUGGGUGAUGAAGGUCUUCGGAUCGUAAAGCUCUGUUAUUAGGGAAGAACAGAUGUGUAAGUAACUGUGCACAUCUUGACGGUACCUAAUCAGAAAGCAACGGCUAACUACGUG
rnacentral:rRNA from 1 species